UGGUCCAUGAAAAAUGAACCAGUUUUAAUGAUAAUCAUGAAAUUGCCAACAGAGGAUAUAGCAAAAGGCUGCUUGAUAGUCUUUUAAGCUUCAUAGAAUCCAUAAACCCCAAUAAAAACUACACUUUUCAUUGUCACCUCAUACAAAUUUGUCCGCCAUCACCACAUUCAACUCAAUAUACUUAGCAUUAGUCCAACCUUCUUUAAUAAUUCAAUCGUCUUACAAAAUGAAAACAAUUGAUGUCUACACUCAAUUCUAUGAUAAUGACCUGAAGAAGAAUUCAUAGGUAUGUUGUAUGCGUAUGUAUGUUUUCAUAUAGCAAGAGAAUCCAACAUGAAGAAAAGAAAACAAAAACGUAAUUACCUCAUUUUCAAGCUCCAAGUAUGUGUUUUCAGACUCCAUUAGCGUUAAUAUUUUUGAAGCAUAGUUAUUAACAUAACAUGAGAACAAUUGAAGAUGAUGAAUGCUAAAAAAGAAAGUGUUAGGGUUUAAUGAUGAUUGAAACAAUUAAGCUUCAAGUUUACGUACGUAUUCUAUAGGGAAUAAGAAAACAAAUUGUAAUUUUUAAUAAGAUACUAUCAUUUAUUGUAAUUUUAUUUUAGGGUAUUUUGGUCUUUCAAUAAAUUAGAAAGUUGUAGGAUGAACAAAGUGGUUCGUAGGGUGGCAAUAGCCGCACCCUUUUAAGAUUGAUAAGAGAAUUGACUGUGAUUAAUCCAUUGAUUUUUUUAACAUUAAUUAAUUCAUUGGUUUUAAAAGUUAGUACUACGUUUUAUUUUCUAUUAUAACACAAUUCUCGAUUGAUAUAUAGAUGUUUUAGUGUUCUAUGACUCUAUGUAGCCCCAUUGAAACUUGUCCGAGAAAAACUUAUAAGGAUAAAAUAUCGGGUGAAGGAACAAUAGUACCACAAACUUUUAAAAGAUAUAUAUGCACAGUAUAUGUGAUUAUGAUUUUCAACGUACUCUGUUGGUAUUCUUUACAAAAAUUCCGAAGUCGGGAGCAUCCCAGUAACACGGUUAGAUCAAAACUAAAUAAUUAAGAACUCAUUCUACUUGCUCUACUCAACACCAAUUGCUCUGCUUGAACUACAAUUUUUUAGCAUCCAAAACUCAUAUGGUUAGUGGCUUAGUGCAAAGGGUACGUAUGCCGCGUGCCAUGCGGACACCACAGACAAGCAACUCAUGAAAGGAAAAUAAGUCAUCAUCACUAUAAUUUCCAGGGAGUUUAAACCAUUGCUAGUGUGCAUGCAUUUCCGAGACGGUUCCUAUCGAGCGCGUAAAAUUUCUCUCCUGUUUUCACUUCUGUAUAGUGCAUAUAUAUAAAGGGCGCGCGCCUUCUCAAAGACGCAUCUUGUUCAUUUCUCUCUAAAAUUGUUUACAUAUCUGGUCAGAAUUUAGAACACAUUGUAUAGAUCUCAUUUAACCAAUUGUUCAAACCAGGCAUAUCUUGAAAUCAAUCUGAAUGGGGAGUUCUGGUGAAGUCGACCUUGAGAAUCAACAAACGGUUCCCCGUGUGGCGACUGAUCGUGGAGGCGGCUGGCUAACUAGUCUCUUGAAUGUAAUUCAUUCAUUUUGCGAGUUUCUGAUCAUAAAACCUUCUUCUGCUGAUGAUGAAAGUGAGGUAAAUUUUCGUGUGCCAAAAUUUAUUUUAAAUUACUAGUUCAUCUGAUCUGUAUAUUUAGAUUAAUUAUGUAGUCUUGAUAAAACAUCUGAAAUAUAUGCUUAGAAUUAAUAUUGA